rnacentral:rRNA from 1 species
AACGAACGCUGGCGGCAUGCCUAACACAUGCAAGUCGAACGAGACCUUCGGGUCUAGUGGCGCACGGGUGCGUAACGCGUGGGAACCUGCCCUUAGGUUCGGAAUAACUCCCCGAAAGGGGUGCUAAUACCGGAUAAUGUCUUCGGACCAAAGAUUUAUCGCCUUUGGAUGGGCCCGCGUUGGAUUAGCUAGUUGGUAGGGUAAAAGCCUACCAAGGCGACGAUCCAUAGCUGGUCUGAGAGGAUGAUCAGCCACACUGGGACUGAGACACGGCCCAGACUCCUACGGGAGGCAGCAGUGGGGAAUAUUGGACAAUGGGCGAAAGCCUGAUCCAGCAAUGCCGCGUGAGUGAUGAAGGCCUUAGGGUUGUAAAGCUAUUUUACCCGGGAUGAUAAUGACAGUACCGGGAGAAUAAGCUCCGGCUAACUCCGUG